GCCCAACAGCUAGCCCACCCAAACAACUCCAACCACCCCCUGUUAAUAACCCCUAAAUACCCCAGUAUUUAAAUUGAACAAACCAUUUUUCCCCCUUAGUAUAGGCGAUAGAAAAGGAACUACGGCGCAAUAGAGAAAGUACCGCAAGGGAAUGCUGAAAGAGAGAUUAAAUAGCCCAGUAAAGCCUAAAAAAGCAGAGUUUCAAACUCGUACCUUUUGCAUCAUGAUUUAGCAAGUGUACCCCAAGCAAAGCGUACUUUAGUUUGACGUCCCGAAACUAGGUGAGCUACUCCAAGACAGCCUAUUAAUAGGGCGUACCCGUCUCUGUGGCAAAAGAGUGGGGAGAGCUUUGAGUAGAGGUGAUAAACCUACCGAACCUAGUUAUAGCUGGUUGUCCAAGAAAUGAAUAGAAGUUCAGCCCCUUGGCUUCUCUUUUCACACUAGUUUAACCCCUAUUGAUGCAUUAAAGAAACCGAGGGAGUUAGUCAAAGGGGGUACAGCCCCUUUGAAUCAAGACACAACUUUACCAGGAGGGU
rnacentral:rRNA from 1 species